UUUAUAAUAACCUGACUGGAUCCUGGCCUAAGGCCCCUCACGCACGCACACAACUUCAAAAAGGAAAUAAACCUUAAAAUAAAAGAGUCCAAUCCUUUUACAUCUCAGAUUGGAUUUUAUAUCUAAUAACUAUUCCUAACCUUUAAUUAUGGUGCGCUAUCUCUCUUGACUUGUUUCGGUGGCCCCCAGCCUACUUCUUUUAAGCAUAGAAAACUCCACACGUUGCGCAUCAUGUUUGUAAUUGCCUGGUACUCCUUGCGUGGUAGAAACAAAAGCAUGAAUCGUUCCUUAAUCCCUCCUUUAACUUUUAUAAUAUCCCCAAUUAAAUAUCCAUAGUUCUUGGUUGCAUGCACUGAAUGGAUCUCGCCUCCUAGAACACAAACGGAAUAGCAUCCUAGGCCGGUUUCCAUUGCACGUUUGUUUACCUUUAUUUCUUGCAUGGUUGCAUGCAUGUAAAAUCCUGAAACAAUUCUGAUCUGGUCCUGAGCCAGUGAAUGUUUAUUUUCUUGGCUUACGCCCAUCUUGUGCAAUACAUUAGCAUGCAUGCACAUAACAUCGACCAAUGCUUGCACCUCUUCAUCAUCUUCACUGGACUGGAAAUAGUUUGGAACACAAAUAUCCUUCAUCUUUACUCCAUUGACAUGCGACAAAGUAUCGUGAACAACCAUAUUAGUAGCAUCAUCCGUGUUCGUAUCAUUCUCUCCCCCUAGAAAAGAAACCGUCCUCGGUUUCAAGUUGAUCUCUUGACCAAUAUUUUUAUCUCUAGACUGAACGGCGACCGUAGAAAUUUCAGUAGCUUCGACCAUAUUCUUUUUUGCAUCUUCCUCUUCUUUUAUCUUCUUCUGAUGUUCUCUUCUCCAAGCAAUAAAACGAUCCAGACCCAUGGGCACGAGGUCAUACUUCUUACCCUUCUUGACGGUAUAUAUGUGCGUUUGACAAUCAUACACAACAUCAUGCUCUUUGUACCAUGGCUUGCCCAACAAUAAGUGACAUGAAACCAUCGAUGCCGGAAUCACGUCACACAAAACCGUGCAAAAAUAUUUUCCUAGCAAAAACGGUACCUUUGUUUGAUGUGUGACACUGAGAUCUUCAUGACCCCAACGAAACAAGUAUGGUUGUGCUCGUGGUGUCAUUGGUAGAUCUAGCUUCUCCACCAUCUCGAUGCUUGCAGCGUUGAUCAAACUCAUGUGGUCAAUUGUCAUGGCACAUGAUCUCUCCUGUACCACAACACGAGUAUGAAACAUCCCAUCCCAUCGACCUUCCUCCUCCAACUGAAAUCCAUAGCUUAACUUGCUGAAUAACGAUGCACUCGCCAUCUUCUCCAUAGUGUCGUGAACAACCUGAUGCUCUGAAUACCACCUGAUGUCGACCGAACCUCGAUGACGAGAUCUGAUCUGUUGUUGCGGCCCGAUCUUUCACGACACUCCACCUUCAGCACUAGUAGCCUCUCGCCCGCACAUGCGAUGUACACGAAGUAGAGGGUUUGAACCUUGCGGCCCAGCACGAGAAAACCAAUCUUGACGAAGGUACUCACGUGCAAAACAAUUUCCACGAAGAGAAAUCGCAACACAGAGGUUUUCUAAAGGUCCCUCCAAAACUUGAUACGGGUGUCUACCCUGAAAAACACAUCGUGUCUAUUUCAUAAAAAUAUAACCUGUCCUACAUUGUACGCACCAUGACUAUUUAUAAUAACCUGACUGGAUCCUGGCCUAAGGCCCCUCACGCACGCACACAACUUCAAAAAGGAAAUAAACCUUAAAAUAAAAGAGUCCAAUCCUUUUACAUCUCAGAUUGGAUUUUAUAUCUAAUAACUAUUCCUAACCUUUAAUUAUGGUGCGCUAUCUCUCUUGACUUGUUUCGGUGGCCCCCAGCCUACUUCUUUUAAGCAUAG
rnacentral:lncRNA from 1 species